rnacentral:snRNA from 1 species
AUAUUUAUCUGAUGGGGAAUGUCCACAUCACAAAAGUGUUUUCCCACAGGCAAGGCUUACCUAUUGCAUUCCAGACGUGCUUAUCCCUGAAAGAAUCCCAAAUCCGGGAAACCCAACUGCAUAAUUUGUGCCAAUGGGAGGCAGACUUUGAAUUUUCCAA